AACCUUGCGCAGUGGCAAUAUUGUAAUCAUUGAAGUUCUACUGAUGCGAUUACUGCUAGUUGAAAAAUACAACCAAGUUCAAAUUAUAAAGGUCUUAUUAAUUUUAAAGUCGGUUUUUCAUAUCG
rnacentral:snRNA from 13 species